rnacentral:rRNA from 1 species
GGAGAAAACCAUGGGAUCGCAAGACCUUGCGCUCAUUGAGCGGCCGAUCCCUGAUUAGCUAGUUGGUGAGGUAAAGGCUUACCAAGGCGACGAUCAGUAGCUGGUCUGAGAGGACGACCAGCCACACUGGGAUUGAGACACGGCCCAGACUCCUACGGGAGGCAGCAGUGGGGAAUUUUGGACAAUGGGGGAAACCCUGAUCCAGCCAUGCCGCGUGAGUGAAGAAGGCCUUCGGGUUGUAAAGCUCUUUCAGCCGGAACGAAACGGUCACGGCUAAUACCUGUGACUACUGACGGUACCGGAAGAAGAAGCACCGGCUAACUACGUGCCAGCAGCCGCGGUAAUACGUAGGGUGCGAGCGUUAAUCGGAAUUACUGGGCGUAAAGCGUGCGCAGGCGGUUUUGUAAGUCAGAUGUGAAAUCCCCGGGCUUAACCUGGGAACUGCGUUUGAAACUACAAGGCUAGAAGGG